rnacentral:rRNA from 1 species
AUUGAACGCUGGCGGCAGGCCUAACACAUGCAAGUCGAAUGGUAACAGGGAACAGCUUGCUGUUUCGCUGACGAGUGGCGGACGGGUGAGUAAUGUCUGGGAAACUGCCUGAUGGAGGGGGAUAACUACUGGAAACGGUAGCUAAUACCGCAUAACGUCGCAAGACCAAAGAGGGGGACCUUCGGGCCUCUUGCCAUCAGAUGUGCCCAGAUGGGAUUAGCUAGUAGGUGGGGUAACGGCUCACCUAGGCGACGAUCCCUAGCUGGUCUGAGAGGAUGACCAGCCACACUGGAACUGAGACACGGUCCAGACUCCUACGGGAGGCAGCAGUGGGGAAUAUUGCACAAUGGGCGCAAGCCUGAUGCAGCCAUGCCGCGUGUAUGAAGAAGGCCUUCGGGUUGUAAAGUACUUUCAGCGGGGAGGAAGGGAGUAAAGUUAAUACCUUUGCUCAUUGACGUUACCCGCAGAAGAAGCACCGGCUAACUCCGUG